AGUGAACGCUGGCGGUAGGCCUAACACAUGCCAGUCGAACGGCAGCACAGUAAGAGCUUGCUCUUACGGGUGGCGAGUGGCGGACGGGUGAGGAAUACAUCGGAAUCUACUUUUUCGUGGGGGAUAACGUAGGGAAACUUACGCUAAUACCGCAUACGACCUACGGGUGAAAGCAGGGGAUCUUCGGACCUUGCGCGACUGAAUGAGCCGAUGUCGGAUUAGCUAGUUGGCGGGGUAAAGGCCCACCAAGGCGACGAUCCGUAGCUGGUCUGAGAGGAUGAUCAGCCACACUGGAACUGAGACACGGUCCAGACUCCUACGGGAGGCAGCAGUGGGGAAUAUUGGACAAUGGGCGCAAGCCUGAUCCAGCCAUACCGCGUGGGUGAAGAAGGCCUUCGGGUUGUAAAGCCCUUUUGUUGGGAAAGAAAAGCAGCAGGUUAACACCCCGCUGUUCUGACGGUACCCAAAGAAUAAGCACCGGCUAACUUCGUG
rnacentral:rRNA from 1 species